rnacentral:tRNA from 1 species
GUUUGAUUAGUUUAGUUAAAAUUAUAAAUUGUGGAUUUAUAGAGGAAUUAAUUUCAUCAAACA